AAACAAGAGUCAACCAACUAGGAAUUUUAACCUAGUUAAUUACAAGCCUUGAAAUAACUCAUAAUAGGGUUAAAACACUCAAACUUAAGGAUAAAUCAAAGUUGAGGGUUUAAACUUGUCAAAACUGAAACUUAAGUUACUAAUAGUAACCAAAACAAAACCAAACACCCCAAAAUUUGGUGUCUGGUCGAUCAAGAGAGAAGGGCGACCAGGGGAUUCACUUCAAACCCUAGUUCGUCACAAAAAGCUCAAAUUGGAAGCCUAAAUCAAGUUCAAAUCGAAUUCUAAACACAAAUUAGUAAUCACCUCGUCAUAGGGAUCAAAAGGCAAAGAGUCCGGAUCAUCAAGCGGACAAGCCGAAGGGAAUUCACGGGGGAAAGGCGUGCUCUAAAGUUUUUCAGGUUUUCUAGUAGAAGGGUGAUGAUCAAGCAUAAGUAUUUGAACCGAACACUCAAACAAACGCUUCCGCACUUGAUCUUUUGUUUUAAAACUAUGUAACAAUUGUAGAUUCUAUCUUGAAUAUGGUUUCGUAGGAUAUU